GAUGAAGAACGCAGCAAAAUGCGAUAAGUAAUGUGAAUUGCAGAAUUCAGUGAAUCAUCGAAUCUUUGAACGCACAUUGCGCCCGCCAGUACUCUGGCGGGCAUGCCUGUCCGAGCGUCAUUUCAACCCUCAGGGCCCUCCAGCAGGGCGCUGGUGUUGGGGAUCGGCAGUCCCAGCGGCUGCCGUCCCUGAAAUGUAGUGGCGGUCCCACCGUGACCCCCCCUGUGCAGUACAUCGCUCGCAGAGGGACAGCGGUGCGGCCACGCCGUAAAACGCCCAACUCUUCAAGGUUGACCUCGGAUCAGGUAGGACUACCCGCUGAACUUAAGCAUAUCAAUAAGCGGAGGA
rnacentral:misc_RNA from 1 species